GGGGUCGCCGAGGCGCCGGUCGGGCCGGACGGGCGGGCCGCGAAGAGGAGGAGCUGGCAGGGCUGCGUGGGCGGUGGGGCAACGCGGGCUCACUUACCGGCGGCCGCGAGGGCGCGGAAAGGAGACCGUGAUCUCACCCUGACGGUAAGAUCAAAAGUCUCCGCUCUUCCCCAGCCUGCGGGCUUGGGCUCGAUCCAGACGCCUCCCUGAAUGCAGAUGUGCCGCCGCCAUCCUCCCGGGCUAUAAAGCCGCCUCCAGCGCCUUUGCGCGCGCAGGAGCGCACUGAGUUGCGGGGUGCAGACCCCGGGCGGUCGCGGGGAUUCGGAGUCUGGCUGCAGCUGGGCUCCGGGACUGGCCGUGUAUGGCAACUCGGGGGCGGGGGCGCAGCGUGCAGUUGGUGUCUGCGGCCGCAGAGGCCGAAGCUACUACUGCCCCUCCAGGCCAGGGAGACGCGGCCGUGGGGCAUGAAACGCUUCUUGCGAACGAGGAAACGGUGAGUUGGCAGACGCCGCCCGUGGCCUCACGAUUCUAGUCGCAGCGCCGGGCCCUCAUCCCUGGAGGAAGGUAGGCGCCACGCAAGGUCAGCUUCUGCCCGACCCCGGCUCACCUUCCCGGUUCUGAGUGCCCACUUAGGCGCGCCGGUUGUGGCGGGUACACAGCGCUGGGUGCCGCGCACUGAUGGCUGAGAGUUUCGCCCUGGCUCGUGCUUCCCCCUCCUCCUUUCCUUCCCUGCGCUGCUCUCCAAACCGCAGUUCCCUCUGCCUCCUCCCCCUGCCGGCGGUAGCCUGAGCUUCGGUCUCCGCGCUGCCCGCAGCCACAGCGCGAUAUCUGCCUCGCCCUCCCCUGAUUAGGCGCCGCGCGCUCUGCAAUCCGCCCUAACAUCUGUCCGUCCAACCAUUGACGCAUCCAUCAGUGUCCAUGAGCUGCACAUCGCAGCGACAGCUCGUCACUCACAACACGGGCUAUGCGGAGUGCUUACAGCGACUGUGCCGCGUUGCCCGAACACAAACCAUAUUCCGGCCAGGCUUGGCACAGUCUUGAACUUCCAUCUCUACGGUGUUCUUAAGCCACACGCAACCUCUUUAAUAUUAGGACUUCAAAAAGUGACUAAUUUAGCAGGCCAUUCUAGGGAUGGAACAGAUGGAAAGAGACAAUGUCAACCUCACCCUCGCAUUCCACCAAGUUCUCUUGACCCUUUUCUGUGGACUGGGUGUGGCGCAGGAGAGACGAAAAAGAAGCUUCCCAAACCCGCACUAAGCACACUAUAAACCCAGAAGUUCCCUGAAUAUUGGGGCUUAAACCCGCUUUAGCUGGGCCGAGUCUGGGGCUGUCGAGGUCUCCAAGCAAAUCUUAGCCGAAAUGGCUCAAGCUAAAACUUUGCCAGGCCCCGCCUGGCUGCUGCGUGACACACGAUUACAGUGAGGAGCAAGAGGGGAGAAGAAAACGCGGAUCCAGUGAAAUCUAGGGGCCCAGUUUUAGGAGAAAUGGUGUCUGGGUGGCAGUUUGUAAUUCUGUUACUUACAGAGGGAAAAGGGACCGGGCUAUAUGUUUGGGGAGCCAGAGUUUUGCGGGGAGUUCCUGAGGACAUUCUCUAACAGCGCUGACCUAGGCUGUGGUUGCAUGUUCCCCCGCUUUUGCUUCUUGCUUUGCCCCCCACACCCCGCCGACCCCCACCACCUGAACCACGCCGUACACUGUCUAGAAGACAAACAUCUUCACAUUUGUCCUUGAUCAGUCUGGCUGGGUCAAAAGGCCCUCUGUGUCCUCCCUCUAAGAACUUGAGGGGCAGGGCGUACGGAGGACCUACUCUUCCGACAUCUGCGGGGCGGCUGUACCCGGCACUUUACCUGACUUUAUUUCUACUGCAAAAAUUUCUGUCCGGCUGCGUAGUGAGUUCUGCAGCUCCGAGUCGACUAAACAAGCGAGUCAAAACCUGUGCGUUUGUUAGUUCCGCGAUUCGCGAGUUAAAGGGGACACAGGAACUGCUCUGCCGGCGAGCGCCGAAGGUCUGCGCGGGUCCGGAAGAGGCCAGACACCGCUGCGCGGCGCUCGCUGGGGCGCCUUCCUACGGGAAGGAGGGACCGCACUACAGGGAGCGGCCGAACUGUUUUUACGCUAGACUAGAGGGCAAAAAAAGCCCGCACCCCUCGCAGGAGCUAGAAUUCUCUAGAAGACAUGCUAUGUAGAAAUCUUUUUUACCCCCCUUUGAACUGUUGCAGAUACCUUUAAAAAGCAACAACAGGCUUCUGCCAAUACGAGCGAGCUCUUGGUAACUUCGACGAGUGAGUCAUGCAAAAAGUAAACUCCUAAGCCAGUUAGAUACUCCCAACCUCUGGAAGGUGCCUCGUUGCUGGAAAUUCUUUAAACUACUAAAAUUAGAAGUGAAGGUGGGCUGAGGGGCAGUGGAGCAACACAACGAUAUGCCCAUAGGGGAAAUUGGCAGCUCCUACUAUAGCCAGGUGGCUCUCCCACCGCUGGGUGGUAACGUUUCUGAGCCCAGAAAAUUCCCAGGGACCAUGAAGAUAACUCCUGACUGGCCCCCAAGAUUGCGCCUUGGGCCCAGUGGAACCCAGCUCCCCCUCUGAGGUGGGGGCUGAGUCUGUUGUAUAAAUGCUCCCCAGUGCCGCUUCUUCAGGGGUUAGAAGUCUGACUCCAGCCUUACGAACUCAAGUUGCCGCAGGCCCCACUCCUUGGGCCUACCUACGUGCGUCUGUCUCACCCCGGGAGCAUCCCUGAGCUUUGCUAACCUGAGCCUCACCCCAGAGUUCAAAAAAAAAAUUCAAACGAGGCGUGAAUCAGAGCAGUGUGCUGGAGGCAGGGAGCUGGCCCGGAACAUGUCGAUCACAGAAGUCGGACAGGACAUGUCAGGGAAGGAGCAGUCCGGCCACCGCCUGGAGGCAGCCGAGGUUGUGUUCAAGGUGCGAUUGAGGGCAGUGGGUGACAGCCCAGCUGAUCAGAGCGAGGCUGAGGUGUGUCCUUAUUUGGGAUGGUCACUGAAGGAAAAGACUUAAGGAAAGGCGUCCUUGAAGCUGCGGGUCCCAGAUGGGUAGCCAGGGUAGACUUGAACCCAGAGGCCAAAGCCCAGACCUCAGAGAGUUUUCUCUGUGGCCUCAGAGAGGCACAGGCCGCCUAUACAGAAAGGGCGUGUCAGGUAGAACAUUCUGGGAGCCUGCACCCCACUUAAAGGUGUGAGGGCAUCUGCCCUGGCAGCGGUCCUUUGGGGAGCUGAAUGCCAGCCCAACAAUGCCAGGGGAGCUGGUGCCAAGUGUUCUGCUUGUGUCUGCAAGGAACGCUGGUGCUCAGGUCUGCCCCCUUCCACGUUCCUCCUCUCACCACAGUCUGGGCUAGGCAGGAUUGGAAGAGCCCUGGGUGCAGAGAAGCUGACUGCCGCCUGCCACCACCUGCGUCGCUUAGCCAGUAACUGGGCUGCGGACCUCAGCUCCUGACAAAGCGCAAAGGACUUGGACCCUGGGGGCAGGCCCUCGCCAAGCGAUAAAUUGUUUGCUAAAAGUGCAUUUACACAGCAGCGAAGUUUGUUUCUUUCUCCGGUAGCUUUGUUUUAACGAACCAGAUGUUUUGUCUGUAAAUUCUCCCCAGAACUUUUACAGUUUUGACGUGAAAUAAACCUUCGAAAAUUGGAGCGGUAUAUUAAUGCCACCUCUGUGGAGCCUUUGGGGAGCUGCAUCAGGCGCACCCAGCUCAGUGCACAGAGGUCUGGUCCAGCCUUGCCAGCUAUUCUUAUUUGCAUGCCGGCCAUUCCCACUAGGACCACAGGACUCAAAGGCAAAAGGGCCUGCCAUCUUCCAGGGCCAACCUUGAUGCCCGCGGUUUUCUGGGGGCGGACUGAGCAAGCGGCCCUGAACUCCUGACCAUGACUGGACAGGGAGAACUUUGGCCGGAUGCUGUCUUGUCUAAGUUCCCUAGGAAACCAGGGUCCCCAGGUGCCUCUCCUGGAUGCCUCAUAUUUUUUUUUGGCUCAGUACUUCCUGGCAGUUAAUAAACGUGUUAAAAACAGAAACAAAAGCCAAUACACCUACU